AAUGUGUUCAGAGUGCUGAUGCUUCCUCCCUCUCUUUGUGUGGCUGCAUGUUUGAGGGGCUAAACAGCGCCACCUCCAGGUCGGAAAAGUAGUGAUUACAAGCAGAUUAAACACAUACAAGACACUUUAUAGCAAUCUCAAGAAUCAAAAGACACAAUUUGAAGCCAUCUGCGCCUUGACACACAUCAAUCUGUCUUGGUGGCAUCGGCAAUACAGCGGCGUUCUAAAUACGAAGACAAAUAUGGGGCAAAACACACCUACACAUGCUUUAACACCAACAGAUGAGUCAUAGUGAUGAUGAAAAUUUGAUAGCCUGCCUGACGCUCUCGAUCCACGCUAUCCGUCUUUCAAGAUAAGAUCUCCCAGCCUCUGCUGAUAAAUAGUG